rnacentral:rRNA from 1 species
CUACGUGCCAGCAGCCGCGGUAAUACGGAAGGUCCAGGCGUUAUCCGGAUUUAUUGGGUUUAAAGGGAGCGUAGGCUGGAGAUUAAGUGUGUUGUGAAAUUUAGGUGCUCAACAUUUAACUUGCAGCGCGAACUGUCAGACUUGAGUACACGCAACGUAUGCGGAAUUCAUGGUGUAGCGGUGAAAUGCUUAGAUAUGACGAAGAACUCCGAUUGCGAAGGCAGCUGACGGGAGCGCAACUGACGCUUAAGCUCGAAGGUGCGGGUAUCAAACAGGAUUAGAUACCCUGGUAGUCCGCACAGUAAACGAUGGAUGCCCGCUGUUGGUACCUGGUAUCAGCGGCUAAGCGAAAGCAUUAAGCAUCCCACCUGGGGAGUACGCCGGCAACGGUGAAACUCAAAGGAAUUGACGGGGGCCCGCACAAGCGGAGGAACAUGUGGUUUAAUUCGAUGAUACGCGAGGAACCUUACCCGGGCUUGAAUUGCAGAGGAAGGAUUUAGAGAUA